rnacentral:rRNA from 1 species
AGGCUGAAGCGAGGCUAACCCCUCGUGGAGGGCCGAACCUUUCGCUGUUGCAAAAGCGUGGGAUGAGCUGUGGGUAGAGGUGAUAUGCCUAACGAACUUGGAGAUAGCUUGUUCUCCCCGAAAUAGCUUUAGGGCUAGCCUCGCGUGUUGAGUAUCGGAGGUAGAGCACUGGAUGGGCUAGGGGGGUUAUAACCUACCAAACCCAACCAAACUCCGAAUGCCGAUAUUUUAAAGCGCGAGAGUCGGACCACGGGAGAUGAGUUUCGUGGUCGAGAGGGAAAGAGCCCAGACCGACGGUUAAGGUCCCAAAGUUCAGGCUAAGUGGGAAACGAGGUGGGAUCGCUUAGACAGCCAGGAGGUUGGCCUAGAAGCAGCCAUCCUUUAAAGAGUGCGUAAUAGCUCACUGGUCAAGUGAUCCUGCGCGGAAAAUAUAUCGGGGCUCAAGCCUGACACCGAAGCCACGGGCUUCUUAGCCGUUAGCUGUGAGCAGUUAGUAGUUAGCCGCAAGCGUUACAAAGGGCUAUAACCAUUGACUGUUGACAGCUAAUGGCUAAGGAGUGGUAGGGGAGCGUUCUGCAUGCAGUGAAGCUGUACUGUGAGGAGCAGUGGAGCGUGCAGAAGUGAGAAUGCCGGCAUGAGUAGCGUAAAACACGUGAGAACCGUGUUCACCGUAUGUCUAAGGUUUCCGACGGAAGGUCAGUCCGCGUCGGGUUAGUCGGUCCUAAGCCGAGGCCGAAAGGCGUAGGCGAUGGACAUCCGGUUAAUAUUCCGGAACCACCUGAGGGGAGCGAUGGGGGGACGCAGCAUGGUAGACCAGCCCGUUAUUGGAUUCGGGUGCUAAGCCUGUAGGAUGUUGAUGGAGGUAGGGAAAUCCGCCUCCGGAGUCUGAGAGGUGAUGGUGGGCCAUAGAGCCAGAAGUGGUUGAGCCAAGCUGCCAAGAAAAGCCUCUAAGCUAUGAAUCUCGGGUGACCGUACCGCAAACCGACACUGGUAGACGAGUAGAGUAUACUAAGGUGAACGGGAGAACCCUCGUUAAGGAACUAGGCAAAAUGACCCCGUAACUUCGGGAGAAGGGGUGCCCCGCUAGGGUGAGGUAAUUAUACCAAGCCUGAGGGGGUCGCAGUGACAUGGCUCUGCCGACUGGUUACCAAAACCACAGGUCUCUGCAAACUCGUAAGAGGAUGUAUAGGGGCUGACGCCUGCCCAGUGCCGGAAGGUUAAAGGGAGGAGUUAGUCUUCUUCGGAAGGCAAAGCUUCGAACUGAAGCCCCGGUGAACGGCGGCCGUAACUAUAACGGUCCUAAGGUAGCGAAAUUCCUUGUCGGGUAAGUUCCG